rnacentral:tRNA from 1 species
UGGUCUUUAGUUUAUUUUAAAGAAUUUGUGUCUUGCAAACACGAGGUUUGGAUCUC